AGAACGAACGCUGGCGGCAGGCCUCAAACAUGCAAGUCUAGGGGGUGUAGCAAUACAUCACCGGCGGACGGGUGCGUAACACGUGGGAAUAUACCUUUUGGUUCGGAACAACGCAGGGAAACUUGCGCUAAUACCGAAUGUGCCCUUACGGGGAAAGAUUUAUCGCCAAAGGAUUAGCCCGCGUAGGAUUAGCUAGUUGGUGAGGUAAUGGCUCACCAAGGCUCCGAUCCUUAGCUGUUCUGAGAGGAAGAUCAGCCACACUGGGACUGAGACACGGCCCAGACUCCUACGGGAGGCAGCAGUUGGGAAUCUUGGACAAUGGGGGAAACCCUGAUCCAGCCAUGCCGCGUGAGUGAUGAAGGCCUUGGGUUGUAAACUCUUUCGACGGGGACGAUAAUGACGGUACCCGUAGAAGAAGCUCCGGCUAACUUCGCGCCAGCAGCCGC
rnacentral:rRNA from 1 species